rnacentral:lncRNA from 1 species
AACAGAAGUGCAGCUGCUGUGAAAAACGAGAAGGAGCAAAAAAACCAGGAAGCAGAUGUCCAGGAAGUGAAGGCAAGCACGCUGAGCCCGGGUGGAGGAGUCACCGUGUUCUUCCACGCCAUCAUCUCUCUUCAUUUCCCAUUCAAUCCUGACCUCCAUAAAGUCUUCAUCAGAGGAGGAGAAGAAUUUGGGGAGUCAAAAUGGGACAGCAAUAUCUGUGAGCUGCACUACACCAGAGACUUGGGUCAUGACCGCGUUCUUGUUGAAGGCAUUGUCUGCAUUUCCAAGAAGCACCUAGAUAAAUACAUUCCUUACAAGUACGUCAUUUAUAAUGGGGAAUCUUUUGAGUAUGAGUUCAUUUACAAGCACCAGCAGAAGAAGGGCGAGUACGUCAACCGCUGUCUGUUCAUAAAAUCUUCACUUCUGGGCUCAGGAGGUAAGUCGUGGCAGCAGGCUGUCUGCUCACCCCUCCGGAGUGCAGGUGCCAAUCCCGCGGUACUGGACGCGUCUCUCUGGAGAGCACAGACUUUGCCUGGGCAGUGAGGUCCUCUUUGCUCUGCAUUGACCCCGCCCCAGCCUCCAGGUUCAGUGACACUGACUCUGGGUUGUGUCUCUG